UUUGCAUCACAAUAUGAGCCCAAGGGGCUAGUACCACUGUGUGGGAGGAGUACCAUGCCCUAGGUCCUUUGCAUGUUUAAUGCUCAUGCAAAACUCUCCUCUAACUGUCCUGGAGAUAUUAUUCACAAGAACAGUUUGUAUUCUUCUGCAAAGAUUACACAAACUCUGCUGACAAGUUUCCAUGGAAAUAAGUAGGAGGCAUUACUUUUGGAGCGACCUACGUAGCAUGGAAUUUCUGCUGGGAAUGAGGGCUUUGUAAUAGAGAAAUUACGCCAAGUUGAAGUCUCAGACCCAGUGAGUGACGAGUACCAUAAUCUCACCCCAAGGACCAGCACACUCACCAUGUCAAAGAAGGCACUCAAAAUACCUGAGAAAUAAAUUACAAUUACUAUCA